ensembl:miRNA
UUUGACAAUGUUGCACUACUGUACCAUUCAUUCUAGCAGUGCAAUAGUAUUGUCAUAGC